GUUAAAGGGGUCGUGUGCAUGCAAUUAUUGAAGUUGUUCUGUUUCAAGGGCUAUCUGAUAUUAUUCACAAGGAAUCAGAUUUACAUUUCAUGAGGUUAGAUUCCGUUGUUGACGUUGAGUGUACUCUGUAACAACGAUGCUGUCGUGAGUGCUGGACGGACCCUACUACGACAAAGACGAUGGGAGUGUUGGGUGGACCCCACUACAUCGUAAAGCUUGUAAACGUUGUUGUACUGGGUGUAUCCUACACAACGUAGAUUUGUCAUGUAGAGAUCGAGUUUCCGGUGCCUGAUAGGCUGCCUUAGUCUGCUGAAGCUUCGUUAUCAAUUGCCAGUACGUGUUAGAGUUAGACAUAAAGUCUGUUGUGUUAUGAUGUAUAUAUUCUUGUAUGUUAUGAAUACUCCACAGUUUGUAUAAGUUUUAAGAGAUGCGGGUGUGUAAA